rnacentral:rRNA from 1 species
GAUAAACGCUGGCGGCGUGCAUGAGACAUGCAAGUCGAACGGGCUUCUCGGGCUUGCUCGAGAGGCUAGUGGCGGACGGCUGAGUAACGCGUAGGUGACUACCCCGAAGUGGGGAAUAACUGCCCGAAAGGGGGGCUAAUACCGCAUGUGAUCGGUCCUUCAAUUGAUUGAUCAAAGCAGCAAUGCGCUUUGGGAGGGGCCUGCGUCCGAUUAGCUCGUUGGUGGGGUAAUGGCUCACCAAGGCGACGAUCGGUAGGUGGUCUGAGGGGACGAUCACCCAGACUGGGACUGAGACACGGCCCAGACUCCUACGGGAGGCAGCAGUCGGGAAUUUUGCUCAAUGGGCGAAAGCCUGAAGCAGCAACGCCGCGUGAGGGAUGAAGGCCUUCGGGUUGUAAACCUCUUUUCUCAGGGACGAUUAUGACGGUACCUGAGGAAUAAGCCACGGCUAACUACGUGCCAGCAGCCGCGGUAACAC